rnacentral:snRNA from 1 species
AGCUUUGUGCAGUGGUAGUAUCAUAGCCAAUGAGGUUUAUCCAAGGCGCGAUUAUUGCUAAUUGAAAACUUUUCCUAAAGUUU